rnacentral:lncRNA from 1 species
GAAAAGCACAUGGAUGGGCCCCACUACAAAUUUGGCCUAGGCCAAAGCUGGGCUACAUUUGGCCCGGUUAGAGGGCCAAAGGGCCAAAUAUGACCAAAAUUUUGUUUAGCCCAUGGCUGGAGAUGGGUUUUGCAUUAUUUUAUGGCUAUAUUUGGGAUAUAGCCCCUGGCUGGAGAUGGCCUAACAUGUCCUCUUUGACAAAUAUGGUUUAGGUCAGUUGGUCAGGACUCCGUCUUUUUGCAUUUGAGUUCAAGUCUUCCUCUCCGUAAAUUAGAUUAAUAUAAACUAUAAUAAAGUAGUUUAAACUCUC